rnacentral:tRNA from 1 species
GCGCCCAUAGCUCAACAGGAUAGAGCGGCGGACUACGAAUCCGUAGGUUGGGGGUUCGAAUCCUCCUGGGCGCGCCA